GGAAAAGCGACGAGAAGGAGAAGUAGAAAAUCAGGCUUUUUACAGAGAGAACCACCUUUAGGCUGGAAGUGGUUUAUAAGCGGGUUUUUGAAAUGCCCCUUCGAGUCUUCUGCUGAACAGCAAAAUGUUUUGUGAAACAUCUUAAGGCGUUAAAGUAAGCAGAAGCGGUGUACACCGUUAUCAGAGAUGAGUUUGAGGCUUUUUUAGCCUAAACAGAGUGGAACCGCGCUUAAAAGGCGUCUCUGUC
rnacentral:ncRNA from 2 species